CCCUGGUUGGCUCAGUCAGUAGAGCAUGUGACUCUUGAUCUCGGGGUUGUGAGUUUGAGCCCCACACUGGGUG
rnacentral:tRNA from 1 species